CAUGCCACGACUGAACGAAGCACAACCAACGACGCUAUCAGUCGUUUACAAUCAGGCAAUUGAUUCAAGUUGGGCAUGGCAAGGAUGUUGCAUGCAUUCCCAAACACCAUAUUGUGAUAUCAGUUCCAGUCACAGACAGCAAGGGACAUUCACAGAUCAGGUAGACCACGUUAAAAGACGUUACAUGGAAUACAUUAUUCGGCUCACUGAAAGAAAUCACCAUGUCAAUCAGAUCAAAAGGAGUGGUUUAAAGAAUUGCUGUCUCCAGGUUUACAGUGCGGAAAUAAAAGAAUAUUAAAUUAA